AGAGUUUGAUCAUGGCUCAGGACGAACGCUGGCGGCGUGCUUAACACAUGCAAGUCGAGCGGAAAGGCCCUUCGGGGUACUCGAGCGGCGAACGGGUGAGUAACACGUGAGCAACCUGCCCCUGACUCUGGGAUAAGCCUGGGAAACCGGGUCUAAUACCGGAUACGACCGCCUCCGGCAUCGGAUGGUGGUGGAAAGAAUUUUGGUCGGGGAUGGGCUCGCGGCCUAUCAGCUUGUUGGUGGGGUAGUGGCCUACCAAGGCGACGACGGGUAGCCGGCCUGAGAGGGCGACCGGCCACACUGGGACUGAGACACGGCCCAGACUCCUACGGGAGGCAGCAGUGGGGAAUAUUGCGCAAUGGGCGGAAGCCUGACGCAGCGACGCCGCGUGGGGGAUGACGGCCUUCGGGUUGUAAAGCUCUUUCGGCGGGGACGAUAAUGACGGUACCCGCAGAAGAAGCCCCGGCUAACUUCGUGCUAGCCGCCGCGGUAAUAC
rnacentral:rRNA from 1 species